rnacentral:rRNA from 1 species
CGAAAGACUAAUGUGAACUAUACCUGGUUCGGAUGAAGCCAGGGGAAACUCUGGUGGAGGUCCUGAGCAAUUCUGACGUGCAAAUCGAUUGUCAGAGCUGGGCCUAGGGGCGAAAGACUAAUCGAACAAUCUAGUAGCUGGUUCCCUCCGAAAUAUCCCUCAGGAUAGCUGGCACUUAAAAACUGAGUUGCAUCCUGUAAAGCGAAUGAUUAGAGUGGAUAUGGGGGUGAAAUGCUCUCAACCUAUUCUCAAACUUUAAAUGGGUGAGAUACUGAACUUACUUAAAUAUUAUAUUAAGAAGUUUCGGUGAUAAAUCUGGAGUGCCAAGUGGGCUAGUAUUU